CAGUAGCCGCGGUAAUACGAAGGGGGCUAGCGUUGCUCGGAAUGACUGGGCGUAAAGGGCGCGUAGGCGGCGAUCAAAGUCAGGCGUGAAAUUCCUGGGCUCAACCUGGGGGCUGCGUUUGAUACUUGAUUGCUAGAGUGGGGAAGAGGGUUGUGGAAUUCCCAGUGUAGAGGUGAAAUUCGUAGAUAUUGGGAAGAACACCGGUGGCGAAGGCGGCAACCUGGUCCUUGACUGACGCUGAGGCACGAAAGCGUGGGGAGCAAACAGGAUUAGAGACCCGCGUAGUCCCUGUCUCUUAUAC
rnacentral:rRNA from 1 species